AGCCCCUAGACGGACUGGAGUCCGUUCCAGAUCCGUGCCGGGUUUCCUCCGCGUUGCCAGGGUCUCCGCCUCCUGGAGCAGCCACCCGGGCCUGGCACUAGCUAGGGGUGGGAGCUACACGCACGCUGGAACCCCGACUCUCAGGGGGCUCAAGCCCGCAAACCCAACUGAACCGCGGCGCAGACCCUACAAUCGCGCUCCACCUCGGAGUCGGGACCCGACGGCGCGGCUCUGUACCCACACGUCAUCCGAAUUUGACCCUCGGGGGCCUGAAGUGACCCCUCUCUCGGCACUGCUAUCUACGCGCCGCGCCGGACCCCGUACCCUUUCUCAGCAUCGCGGCCUGGCUCCGACUCCCGCGAGGUUCCUUCCUCUUCCAGCUCCCGAGAAACUGUCGACUUCAAGAGCAUCGAUAUUUCAGGGACCUGGAGCAACUGGAGAGGUUGCCUGGAGAUGCAGAUGGAAGUCACGACCUAACCUGCUCCUCUCUGGACCCAUUGUCCCCAGAGCAAGGUGCAAGGAGUCUGAUGCUUGAGCUGGCCCCAGGCUUAUUGUCAGCAUAGGAAUUGCUGCCAUUGUGGAGAGGGCAGUGAGGAGGGGGUUGUCCUCCCCAAACCCCAUCUCUGGUUCUGGGUCAGCUUUGCCCUUAGCACUUAGCACCUUUGACCCUGUUGAGAACCCUGUUGAGAACCCUUUCUCUUCUGAUUUGGAGAUGCAGAAAUACCAAAAGGAGGCCUCACUCAUUGCCUUGAGAGCUAGGAAAACUUAAUGUUUACUCUGCCCAAGUGGAGUCACCUUAGACAAGAGCUUAACUCCUUGAACACAGUGGUCUCAGCAGUCCUGGUCUGAGCCCAUGUUUCCUGCUCUUCAACGAUACUGGCUGACACUGUUACCUCAAAUAGACUUACUUAGUAGAACCUUAGCAUCAGGAAAAAAAAGGGGGGGGGGAGAUGUUUUGAAGCAAAGUGUACGUUUAUAGUAUGGAAAUUAAGAUCAACCUAAACUGCUCUUUAGUACCACAGUACCACUGUGUGUCUCCUCUUCCAACCCUUGGUCGUAUUUUUAUUUAAAAAAAAUUGGUAAGUUCAUCCAAACCAAUAUCAUCCCCACACACAAAGUUGCUGGUAUAUGUGCCCUCUGGGAUGUAGAUGAAUGAGAUGUACUGUGAGGGAAAGGUUCUAACUGAUUAAAAGAGGGGAGGAGGGUUUUAAUUGGUUGCUUUGGUUGGUCUGGGGGAGAGAGGACUGGAAAUAAGGAGACAUCAGGACUUGGGGAGAAAACUUUCUCUUUGGCCCUGCCUCUGGGCAAGAAAAGUAAAAGAGUCAGAGGCCAAACUGGUGCCUAAAAAGGAGACUUUGAAGACUGAAAGGGCGGACAAAAUCCUGAGUUGAAGGCAGGCAAGAAUUACUGUAAGGAAAAAAAAUAGAGGGAGAAGGGAAGGAAGUGUAUCUUUGGACGGAGUUAGGUGGGAGAGGGCCAUGAGUGACCUUGGUUGACAUGUUGUUUGCUGAAUGUCCAAUAGAGAGAAGCCUUUCAAAAGCCCUCAAGUGGAGCCAGCUCUCCCUAAAAUGGAGGAAGAGGCAGAGGGCAAAGCAGAAGGAAGAAAGGGGCCAUUUUGAUUAACCAGGGAGGGAUUACUUUUAUUUCCCUAAUGGAGCUGCUCUAUCUGUCUACU